CUUUGUGGCCAUAACACCUUGAGAAUCCCUGAUCUUGUCUGAUCUCUGAAGCUAAGCAGGGCUAGGCCCAGUCAGUAGUUGGAAGGGGCACUGCUGGGAAUAACAGGUUCCAUAGUGC
rnacentral:rRNA from 1 species